AGUGAACGCUGGCGGUAGGCCUAACACAUGCAAGUCGAACGGCAGCACAGGAGAGCUUGCUCUCUGGGUGGCGAGUGGCGGACGGGUGAGGAAUACAUCGGAAUCUACCUUUUCGUGGGGGAUAACGUAGGGAAACUUACGCUAAUACCGCAUACGACCUACGGGUGAAAGUGGGGGACCGCAAGGCCUCACGCGAUUAGAUGAGCCGAUGUCCGAUUAGCGAGUUGGCGGGGUAAUGGCCCACCAAGGCGACGAUCGGUAGCUGGUCUGAGAGGAUGAUCAGCCAAACUGGAACUGAGACACGGUCCAGACUCCGACGGGAGGCAGCAGUGGGGAAUAUUGGACAAUGGGCGCAAGCCUGAUCCAGCCAUACCGCGUGGGUGAAGAAGGCCUUCGGGUUGUAAAGGCCUUUUGUUGGGAAAGAAAUCCUAUCGGUUAAUAACCGGUGGGGAUGACGGUACCCAAAGAAUAAGCACCGGCUAACUUCGUGCCAGCAGCCGCAGUAAGAC
rnacentral:rRNA from 1 species